UACGAAGGGGGCUAGCGUUGCUCGGAAUCACUGGGCGUAAAGGGUGCGUAGGCGGGUUAUUAAGUCAGAGGUGAAAUCCUGGAGCUCAACUCCAGAACUGCCUUUGAUACUGAUAGUCUUGAGUAUGGGAGAGGUGAGUGGAACUGCGAGUGUAGAGGUGAAAUUCGUAGAUAUUCGCAAGAACACCAGUGGCGAAGGCGGCUCACUGGCCCGAUAAUGACGCUGAGGCACGAAAGCGUGGGGAGCAAACAGG
rnacentral:rRNA from 1 species